GAUGAACGCUGGCGGCGUGCCUAAUACAUGCAAGUCGAGCGAACAGACGAGGAGCUUGCUCCUCUGACGUUAGCGGCGGACGGGUGAGUAACACGUGGAUAACCUACCUAUAAGACUGGGAUAACUUCGGGAAACCGGAGCUAAUACCGGAUAAUAUAUUGAACCGCAUGGUUCAAUAGUGAAAGACGGUUUUGCUGUCACUUAUAGAUGGAUCCGCGCCGCAUUAGCUAGUUGGUAAGGUAACGGCUUACCAAGGCAACGAUGCGUAGCCGACCGGAGAGGGGGAUCGGCCACCCGGGAACGGGAACACGGACCAGACUCCUACGGGAGGCAGCAGUAGGGAAUCUUCCGCAAUGGGCGAAAGCUUGACGGAGCAACGCCGCGUGAGUGAUGAAGGUCUUCGGAUCGUAAAACUCUGUUAUUAGGGAAGAACAAAUGUGUAAGUAACUAUGCACGUCUUGACGGUACCUAAUCAGAAAGCCACGGCUAACUACGUG
rnacentral:rRNA from 1 species